GAAAAAGACAGCAGAGGCUGUGCUGUCCCCUAAAGGGCUGCUGGUUUACCAGGGAAAAGACACAACUAAGCAGAAACUCAUUGCCCUGAGACUCAAGACGGGGCUUGAGGUUCCAGUCAGCAGUUAGGGUUCUGCAGAUGCCAUCUGUCUCUUUCUUCUUCAUCUAGAGUUUCGGAGGGAACACAAGACAUGGAUAAGCAAACCAGAAAAUGGCUGCAGCUGCCAGAAAAAAAUUCAUUCCACAGAUCACAGGGCAACCUUGGGAGAAAGCAGAGUCCCUGGCAGGUGCCCUGAGUACAAGUGACAGUGGAGAACAAGCUAAUUGACUUCCUUACAGAUGUGGGAGGUCACCUAAUCAGCACUUAAUACAAAACUAACCAGGAAAAGUUCA